GCGUUUCUUCCCUUCUAAGCUUGGCCUAGAAACUCAUAUUUUAUUCAUGAAAAUUGAGGCCCUGGGAGGCCUUGGCAUAAACAGGAUGUUUUAUGAAGCCCAGAGUUUCCCAGAACUCACUGUGAGGGGAAAGAUGAUGUUGAACUCCUGAUCCUUCUACCUCCAUGUCCCAAGUACUCAGAUUAUAGACUCUGGCCACCAUGCCUCUGUUUAUGGCUACCUCACACGCAACUGGGCCAGCUGGAAUGGCUUAACCUGAAUUCUUGUGUUCACCAUGGCAGCCUGCGGAAAUUCCAGCACAAAGUCCCCAAGGUCUCACUGUGAGCAGGGAGUGACACCUAAGGGAUGGCCAGCCCCAGACCUAUGUUUGCAGCUCUGCUUCACGGGGUUUGCCUGUCCCAGGUUAACUUGGCCUGACUGGGAAUUUCCUGAGGGAAAAACUGGUGGCCUGGGAGGAGGAGGAGGAGGCUUGCCUGCCUCCCGAAAGACUUCCCCUCUGCACCAUAUCUGAAUCACCUCUCCCUCAGUCUCCUGCGGAGACACAUUCCCCUGUAACUACCAUAACUAGGUCACAAGGUAGCUUUGGGCUUUCUGUCCCAGCUUCCAAAAAGGAACUGCUCAACAGGGACAUCAUCCCUGAUGUCAAUUGGAGAAGAAGUUGCCACGUGAACUUUAUGUGAGAAACGGGAAACUGAGCCAAGAGGGCAAAGUUCCUGGCCUGAGCCUGCCAGUGUACAGGUUCCCACAUACCGUCCACCCUCUCCACUGUCGUCUAGCCGAAGGCACCAGAAAGGGGAGGGUCACCCAGGGCUGCCCAUAGCCCAGGCUGCACAGGAAGCUGACCCUGUUUUUCAGACAGGGUCUCCUGUAGUCCAGGCUGGAUCCCUCACUCUCUGUAAACUUAAAAGGGCGUGGAAUUUUCUAUCCUCCUGACUCUAGAGUCCUGGGAUUAGACUCAGCACCAAUCACGCCCAGUUUAUACUGUGUUAAGGACGGAAACUCAGGGCUUUGUGCAUGGUAAGCAGGCACUCCGCCAACUGGGUACAGCCCCAUCUCCAGUUUAGAGACUGAACUCCCCAUAAUCCUCUGUGCCCUGGGUUUUCCCUUUUGCCUUUGCUGUUGUUUGAGGUCUUAUGUCAUGGUAAUCCUUCUGUCUCAGCCUUCUGUCGUACCUGGCUUGGGACACCUCUGUUUUGAAGAAGGAUCUAAUUUUAAUUUUUGAGUCAUGGUCUCAGGUAGUCUUGGAUGGCCUUAAAAUCACUAUGUAGCUGAGGAUGACCUGAUCUUUCUGUCCCUACGUCCCCUAAUAUUAAGACAACAGGCAUGUAUCACUAUGGGUGGCUUUGAUGCAUUGCUGGGCAUGAAAAUCAACAUGUGUUAGGCCAACGGUCUACCUACUAUCUACUACCGUCACCCCACUAUCUAUCUACUCAACAACCCCUCCCACCGAUGUCUUUAAAAUAAACUUUCUGCGGGUAUAUAUGUGUGA